AAUCGAAGCAGUGAACUUAAGCCCCAGUAAACGGCGGCCGUAACUAUAACGGUCCUAAGGUAGCGAAAUUCCUUGUCGGGUAAGUUCCGACCCGCACGAAAGGCGUAACGAUUUGGGCACUGUCUCAACAACAGACUCGGUGAAAUUGUAAUUCCGGUGAAGAUGCCGGAUACCUGCGACAGGACGGAAAGACCCCAUGGAGCUUUACUGUAGCUUGACAUUGGGUCUUGGUACUACAUGUACAGGAUAGGUGGGAGGCUUUGAAACCAGGACGCCAGUUUUGGCGGAGCCAUCCUUGGGAUACCACCCUUGUAGUACUGGGACUCUAACCAUAGGCCAUGAAUCUGGUCUUGGGACACUGUCAGGUGGGCAGUUUGACUGGGGCGGUCGCCUCCCAAAAGGUAACGGAGGCGCUCAAAGGUUCUCUCAGUACGGUCGGAAAUCGUACGUAGAGUGUAAAGGCAAAAGAGAGCUUGAUUGCAAGACAUACAGGUCGAGCAAGGAUGAAAAUCGGACUUAGUGAUCCGGUGGUUCUGCGUGGAAGGGCCAUCGCUCAACGGAUAAAAGCUACCCUGGGGAUAACAGGCUUAUCUCCCCCAAGAGUCCACAUCGACGGGGAGGUUUGGCACCUCGAUGUCGGCUCAUCACAUCCUGGGGCUGUAGUAGG
rnacentral:rRNA from 1 species